rnacentral:sRNA from 1 species
CUCCCCCAUUUCUUCUUGGCAUUCAAAACCUUUCAUUUUUCUUUCUAAUUUCGCAUCGCAGCUCCAUCUCUGUCUUUGCCAGUAUGCAAAACCCACAUAUCCGACCCCAAACUUAAUUUUGAGCCGUCUUCAUCUCUGUCAAAAUCGCAGAAGAUCACCGAUUCUCUCUCCCAAAAUUUCCCAAUAAAGAUGAGCAAGGGACCUGGACUUUUAACCAUCGGCAAAAAAGCAAGAUCUUCUGACGAAUGACUACAGCUCCGAUCGGAAAUUCACCGUCUCGAUUGUGUCAGUUUGGAGUUGUUACUAUGUAUCAUCUCUUUUCUUUGUUUCAUAUUAUUCUAGACUUCGAUAUUUAUGUGCAUGCAUCUAAUAUUGACAUGGAUCCAAGCACAAAUCUCAGAAAAAAGA